rnacentral:rRNA from 1 species
UAAGGAAUAUUGGUCAAUGGACGCAAGUCUGAACCAGCCAUGCCGCGUGAAGGAUUAAGGUCCUCUGGAUUGUAAACUUCUUUUAUAUGGGACGAAAAAAGGUCUUUCUAGACCCCUUGACGGUACCAUAUGAAUAAGCACCGGCUAACUCCGUGCCAGCAGCCGCGGUAAUACGGAGGGUGCAAGCGUUAUCCGGAUUCACUGGGUUUAAAGGGUGCGUAGGCGGGUAGGUAAGUCAGUGGUGAAAUCCUGGAGCUCAACUCCAGAACUGCCAUUGAUACUAUCUAUCUUGAAUAUUGUGGAGGUAAGCGGAAUAUGUCAUGUAGCGGUGAAAUGCUUAGAUAUGACAUAGAACACCCAUUGCGAAGGCAGCUUACUACGCAUAUAUUGACGCUGAGGCACGAAAGCGUGGGGAUCAAACAGG